GGAGUAACACCACACCACUCGCCUCCCCCACACUCUCCCGCCCCCUCAACACAACCCCUACUUACCUCUCACAGGUACAAGUACUCUCCUAGUGUGUGGACAGAAUGAGCAACAAUUUCAUUCUUAAAGAAGUUUGUAUCAGUUGGAAGAGGAUCGCCACAUUAGUGUAAGUUGUGCACCAGUGACAGUAAUAGCUGUGUACCAACAUAUUGUGUGGCUGGAGAGGAGGAAGCGAUGGAUAGACUGGCAGUUCCGGAGGGCAAGAUGGGGCGGCACUCGACGGUGGAAGCUUCGGCCUCCACCGUGGAUAGAGCCCCGGCCUCCACCGUGGAUAGAGCCCCGGCCUCCCGCUCUCCAUUGCCAGGCCGUAAACUCCUGAGCAACGCCACCUUACACACUCCACCACAACAAAGGAAACAAGCCUACAUGUACAACAGUGUUCCCCGGAGUAUCGCCAACAUCAAGGGCUACACCCCGCAGGAGGAGGCAGAGGACGACGACCCACAGCGGAUCAGACGCAUGAAGGGCAUCUCCGUGGAGGUAGACAUCGCCAUGAAAAACAACGAAAGGGACGCCAUCCAGAAGAAGACUUUCACAAAAUGGGUGAACAAACAUUUGAAAAAGCACUGGGGAUAUGGCGAGCAGUACACCUGUAUUACCGUCUGCAGCAACUGCAGCGACGACUCCUGCUGCUCCCCCGUUGCGGGGAAGCAGGUGCGGGACCUGUUCGAGGACCUGCGGGACGGCCACAACCUCAUCUCCCUGCUGGAGGUGUUGUCGGGCGAGCACCUCCCUCGAGAGCGUGGCCGCCUUCGCUUCCACAUGCUCCAGAACGUCCAGCUCACCCUCGACUUCCUGAGAUACCGCAAGAUCAAGCUGGUGAACAUCCGGUGUGAGGACAUCGUUGAUGGGAACCCCAAGUUGACGCUCGGUCUCAUAUGGACCAUCAUCCUCCACUUCCAGAUCUCUGACAUCAUGGUGGGGCAGGCGGAGAACCUGACGGCCAAGGAGGCCCUGCUCCGCUGGGCCCGCAACACCACCCACAAGUACCCCAACGUCGAGGUGAAGAACUUCACCACCUCGUGGAGGGACGGUCUCGCCUUCGUCGCCAUCAUCCACAGAAAUAGCGACAUCAUCCACAGCAGAAGUGCGUCUCGAAGUGGGGCCUCCGACACUGUGGGGUCUGUUCCAGGGGGCCCCGAGCCAAGGGUCACUGGGACUGUGCCACCCGACCUGGUGGACUGGCGCAACCUUCGCCAGAGGAUGCCCAGAGAACGCCUCGAGACCGCCUUCCACGUCAUGGAGCGCGAGUACGGUGUCACCCGACUUCUCGACCCUGAAGAUGUUGAUACCCCAGAACCAGACGAGAAGUCGCUCAUCACCUACGUGUCGCAGCUCUAUGAAAUAUUCCCAGAGCCACCCAGCAUCCACCCACUUUUCAACAUUGAAGCACAGAGGAAGCUUGAGGAGUACCGGGAGAUGUCCACCACACUGCUACACUGGAUCCGUGAACACAUCUCCAUCAUGAGGGACCGACACUUCCCCUCCAACACCGUCGAGCUCAAGAGAAUGGCCCAGGAGAGCACCAGAUUCCGACAAGAAGAAGUUCCACCUCGACUCAGAGAUAAGAACAGUUGUCAGCGCCUGUACCGCGAGAUCCAGAAGCUGCUGGAUGGCACAGGCUUCUUGGAGGACGAGCUGGCCCCCGAGUUGCACUACAACAGCGUUGACGCCGAGUGGAACAAGCUCAUGUCCCUCUACCAAGAGAGGGACGACGCCCUGCAUGACUCCUUGUCUGGUGCUGAUAGGCUUCAACGACUUGCGGAGAAAGUUCACCGAGAAAUCAAACAAACGGAGGUAACUCUGGAGGAGGUAGAGGUUCGAAUAGAGGACGAGGCAAGGAGAGUGGAGCGCCUCCACCCCAUGGACGCCAAACGUAACUGUGAUGCCCUUGAUGGAGAGCUGGCCCAGUGUGAGGACACCAUCAAGACCCUGCACUCUGAUGUGAAGGUGUUGAGGGAGGGCAAGUACCACGAGGCCCCGACGCUUCAUAAGAGGGUUGUGAAACUAGAAGAGCGAUAUGUUAGUGUUAGGACCCUCUUCGAGAACCGCCUUCUUAUAGUUCUGAACAACCGGUCGUUUACACAGCAAGAAUCUUACACGACGACGAAGAGGAUCAUAGUGUCAGAGUCCCGACUUGUCGAAACGAACGAACACUUCCGGUUCCUUCAGGAGUGUAUCAACUGGUGCAAAGACAAACUUAAAAAGUUGAAUGAGAGCGAGUACGGCAACGACCUGGCGGCCGUCGAGAAGGAGUACGACACCCACCACAAGGAGCACAAGAUCAUUCAUCAGUUCCAUACCAACGUGGACCAGUGUGCUGCUGCUGAGAAUAACUUCAAUGGUGAAGAACACACGGUGUACAUCAGCCUGCUGUCUCAGCUGCGGAAGAUCUACGCUGAGUUACUUUCACUGAGCAACAAGCGUGUGUCUGACCUGCACAGCCUGCUGGACUUCCUGCAGGCCGCCACCCAGGAGCUCAUCUGGCUCAACGAGCGGGAAGAACAAGAGCUCAACAGAGACUGGGCGAACAAGUCUCUUAACAUCAGUGACGUGGAGCGAUAUUACGAGAAGCUAAUGGGUGAGCUGGAGAAGAGAGAGGUGCAGUUCAGUGCUGUCCAGGACCGCGGUAACAGCCUGGUUAUCGGACACCACCCGGCCAGCAAGACCGUCGAGGCGUAUCUGGCCGCCAUGCAGACGCAAUGGCAAUGGCUUCUGGAACUGACACUUUGUCUGGAGACCCACCUCCAACACGCCUCCCACUACCACACCUUCUUUACCGACAUCGCAAAUGCAGAGCAGUGGGUCUUGGCACAAGACGAGAAAUUGAACACAACCUUUUCGGUGACUGACUUUGGUCUUGACGAUGGCGAGCAGCUUCUGCGGGAGAUGCAGGACAUUCGCGAGGAGCUGGCUCAGUUCAACACCACUGUCGAUGAGCUCAUCAACAGGGCCAAGACUGUCGUGCCUCUCAAGCAACGCAGACAGACCCUAAGACAGCCCACAACAGUAACAGCAAUCUGCAAUUACAAGAAAAUGGAUAUGAGCAUCAACAAGGGGGAGCGCUGCACGGUUCACGACAACAGCAACCGCGUCAAAUGGAGCGUGGUGACCAACUCCGGCAACAAGGGCAUGGUGCCGGGCGCCUGCUUCACCAUUCCCCCACCCAACCAGGAGGCCAUUGACGCCGCGGAGAAGCUCAAGCGCCAGUACGAACGAUGCAUCGCCCUAUGGCAGAAAAAACAGUUGCGCAUGCGUCAGAACAUGAUCUUUGCUACCAUUAAAGUUGUCAAGAGCUGGGACUUGGCCCAGUUCAUAGCGAUGGGAGCAGAGCAGCGCAACGCCAUCCGUAAAGCCCUAAACGAAGACGCAGAGAAACUGCUGCAGGAGGGCGACCCGAACGACCCGCAGCUGAGACGACUCAAGCGGGAGAUUGACGAAGUCAACAGACUCUUCGACGAGUUCGAGCGACGCGCAAAUGAGCCCAAGCCAGGAACAGUGUUGGUUGAGCAGUGCAAUAGCCUGAAGGAAUACCUUGACAUGAUGGAGAAGAUGCUCAUCCAAAGGUGCCUGGCCUCCAUUCCUAGGGAUCUGGAUCUCCUUGAGCAGUUGGUCAUUGAGCACAAACAGUUUGAAAAUGACCUCUCUUCGCACGAGCUGGAGGUUGAGAGUAUCCAGAAGAACUACCAGAACCUGUCCCGUCGAACACCAGCCAUUCAAAGGACAGUCGAGUCCAUCACACAACAGUGGGAUCGUAUUUGGGCCCUGUCACAUGUUUACAUUGAGAGAAUGAAAUGUGUGGAAAUGGUUGUGACAGGCAUUGAGGAGGGUUCACAAGUAGUUUCCGAAAUAGAGUUGAAAUUGGCUGAACACCAGGACCUGCCUGAUGACCUGGAUGACCUAGAGCAUGAACACCAACAGUUGCUUAACAUUCAACAAGUUAUCCAUGACCAUCAGGCGCUGAUUGAUCGUCUUCUUGAAGAAUGCCGUAAUGUUCGCACGCUUGUUGUUAAGUCCAGACCUACCCAAAAGAUACACCCAGAUGUUGAUAAACUUGAAGAAGAUGUGAGGAAACUUCGCAUACGAUGGGAGAAUAUUUGCUCACAGAUCAUAGAGAGGCUGCGAAGUUGUGAGGCUGCAUGUGAGCUUCUUACUAAGUAUCGUAAUGGCCAUGACAUUGAAAAGGUAGAAUUAGAUGACAUGAAGAAUGGCCUCCGCAGUCAGAAGAUUGAAGACCUAGGUCCCUCAGAGGCAGAAAUCGAACUUGAAAGGCUGAGGAGUAUGUACAUGAAAAUUAUAGAGAAGAAAACAAGCAUAGAACAUGUAAAUACCCUUGGCGGCCGAUUCAUACGGGAAGCCAAGAUCUAUGACUUGCGCCUGUCCCAGUACAAGGCCAGUCUAGAGGACGUUCACCCUAGUCUGGACGCGAGCCUAAGCAAGAGGCCUCGCAUCCAGAGCGGGGGCGACAAUGUCAUGCAACAGCUUGACAAACUGAACAACCAGUACCAGUUCAUCGCAGAUGAAACUUACGAUCGCAUAGCCAAGAUCUACAAUCGUUUCCAGUAUGAAAAAACCUUCAAUUUCCAACUGGAAGACUUGACACCUGUAAGUCUGGAGAAAACCUUCCGGACAGAGCUCAACCUGCCUGAUGUCCGCCCUGACCUCUCUACCCCAAUUAUCAUCGAUGAUGACAAGGAAUAUCGAGCUCGAUCAGAAGCCCAAUUGACCGUCACAAGUGGGUCCAUUCCCUCUCAGCGCCACUCUUCUGCCACACAGCUUAUAGAACCGGACUAUGUGGAUGGGCAUGUAGCCACUACCACCACCCAUGUAGGUUCCUCCCUACAGGUCACUACCACGACCUCCACUCGCCGCCUAGCUGCUGUUACUGCAGCAUCUGGAGCUUCAGAGCCUCAUAUAGUGCAUCCUGUUACAGGUGAAAAGCUUUCUUUGCAUCAGGCCAUGGAGGGUGGGUUGGUAGACCUUGCAUCAGGUACACUGACUCACCCUACCACUGGCGAGAGCAUUACUUUGUCUGAAGCUGUGGAACGUGGUUAUGUAAGCUCCAUGCUGUUGGAACACUUGGAAACACCCUGUGGUAUAAUAGACCCAACCACGGGACGGGAGCUAACACUGUUACAGGCGACAAGACGAGAGUUGUACAGUCCUCGGGAAGGCGCCUUCAGGGACCCUACAACAGGCAAACUGUUAACACCUGAAGAAGCAGCAAAGAUUGGUUUCAUCAUUUUAGAGAAGGUAAGCUACUUUACCCAGCUUUGUGUACCAGUGGUGGCUUCGCUCUCUCUGUAUGAUGCGAUAGUUGAAGGCCAUGUUAAUGUGCGCACGGGAGAGUUCACAGUUCCAUCUACAGGAGAAAAGAUUCCUAUGACUCAAGCUUUUGCCAGAGGAUUCAUAUCUGCUGAACCAUCACCAGUUUUAACAAGUGGAAUAUGUCUGUCCGAAGCCAUCAGCCAGGGGUUCAUUGAUGAUUAUUCGGGUCAGGCCGUAGAUAGAAAUUCUGGUAACAAGUACACAUUAGAUGAGGCUGUUCAGAAAGGACUUUUGGCAUCUCAUAUUCGUGAGGUAGUGAAUUCAGAUACUGGAUGUAAACUAACUGUAGCAGAAGCCAUUAAUGAAGGUGUGUUGAAUGUUACAACUGGACGGUAUGUUAAUAAUGUUACUGGGCAAAAGUUGCAGUUCUUGGAAGCUAUGCAGCAACAACUUAUUUGUCGACCUUACACUCUGAAAGACUGUAAUGAUUUGAAGCUUUUAGACAAUAAUGGGCAUAUUCAAGAUCCACAAAUUAAGGAUUAUAUACCACUGUUGGAAGCUGUUGGCAAGGGCAUAGUUGAUGUCGAUUUAAAAUCGGUGAAAGACACGGCCAGCAAAACCCUUCUUACUUUGCCUGAAGCUUUCAUGUUCUCUGUACUCCUGCCUGAAGGUAAGUACAGAGAUACAGAAAGUGGAGAGGUGAUAAGUCUUAUUGAUGCUGUGAAUAGAGGCCUUAUCACAUCAGUAUCCACUAAAACAAUAUUUGAUAUUGAUGGUAUUAAGGAUCCUGAAACUGGGGAUUACAUUAGUUUUAAAAUAGCAAUGCUUAAAGGUGUCAUAAAUCCUAAAACUGGUUUAUUUAACCUGAAGACCGGAAGUACUAUGAGUCUGGAGGAUGCAGUUUUAGAAAAGAUGAUUCAACCACAAAUUCUUGAAACUCUUAAAAUGAAUAUUGGAAUUUUUGAUAAUGAUGGGAAGGAGAUAAAUGUUGUAGAAGCAGUUCUGAAUGGUAAUCUUGACCCAAAUACAGGGCAAAUCUUGGAUCCUAAAACAGGGAAGGCUGUUGCCCUUGAAGAUGCAGUGAAUAGAAAAUUAAUCACACCAGAAGGUGCAGCUACUCUCCGGGGGCUGUUGAGUGUUACUGUCACUACUGCUACAAUUACAAAGACAAUUAAGAGGUAUGUAACUGUCAAAAGUACUGGAAUUCAUACCACAGAAUCAAGAGUUACUCUUCAGGAAGCAAAACACAGGGGUCUUAUAAAUGAAGCUCAAGGCACCUAUCAUGACCCAGAAAGUAAUCGAACUAUGCCAUUAGACGAGGCCAUUCAGCAGGGUCUAGUUACUUUGUCAACAGAAUGGCCUUCUGCAUUGCCUGGUGCUAAUGCCAUUACCCCAGAUUCCUUGCUUCCUGUUUCUUCAGUAAGGGAAACUGUCAAGCGACAUCACUCCCCAGAGAAAUAUCCUAGUCCAUCCAAGAGUGCCAGAACCAGUAUUUCACCAGAACGACCACCAAGAUCUCACAGUUCUUCACCAUCAAAGACCCCACAUAGAUUGGGUUCUCCUACAAAAACCAGCCCAGUUUCUUCUGACAAAAUACUUUAUGAAGAUCAGCGUGUGCCCCAAUCAUCGCCCUCUAAAUCGCCAGAAAGAAUACUUGGAAGAACUAGCCUUCCUACAUCUCCACAGAAAACUAGCAAAGUUCUUUCACCUAUUAGAACAUUUCCCUCUUCCCCAUCCAGAACUCCAGAGAGCAUAGUGUCACCUCUGGAAAGCAGUCAUUCAGUCUCCUCAGAGAAGGGAAAGGAUAAAGAAUUUUCUCCAAAAUCACCAGAAAGAACAGCAUCACCAAUAAAAGCAGGACAUAUAACUUCACCUGACAAAAAACAGAGACCAGAUUUCAUAGAAACCUUGGUAUCGCCUUCAAAGGGUAAAGCCUUACCAACUAAAUUAGCAGAGUCAUCUGUCAAGGAAUUGGAGCAACUUGAUGAUUCUUUAGUGUCUUCUCCAAGUUCUGGAUCAGCUUCCCCAUUAAAAUUUGUUGCUACUAGACCUGACACAUUAUUUCAGACUGUAAACGGAUCACAGGAUGGCUCGCCCAUAAAAUCUCAACCUGAAUCCCCAUCGAGAUCUUACAGCUCAAGACAAGGAUCGCCAUAUACUUCAAGAGGUGAAUCCCCCAUUAAAUCAUUUGGUUCAAGGCCAGAUUCUCCAAUGAAAUCUAGUGGAAUUGGACCAGAGUCUCCCCUGAAAACAGAUGAAUCUGUCCCAACAUCACCUGAUAAGGGUAUGCCAGGAAGCUCAAUAGUAUCACCAGAAAGACCUCCUAGAAAAAUAAAGAGUUAUCUUAGGUCUCCUGCUGAUUCUGUUGAUAGUGCCAUGGGGAAUGUUGAUGAUACUGAUAUGACAUCAUCUGGUGCAUCACUUACAGGCACCACAACUGUAUUUAAUGAGAGCUAUUCUGCAAAGACUCGAACUCUUGAGCUGCCACCAGAUGGCUGGUAUCUUAAGGAAGCAAUAGAUGAGAAGCUGUAUGAUCCUGUAAUGGGUCUUUUCACAAUACCAGGCACUGAUAGAUUAGUUAGCUUUGAAGAGUGUGUCAAAAUUGGGAUUAUUGACUAUCAAUCAGCUGAAGUUGUAGACCCAAAGAAUGGGAGGAGAAUUACUCUUACAAGAGCCCUGGACAAGUCUGUUCUUGACUGCACUGGAAAAUAUCCUGACGAGUCUAAUCCAGGCAGGAGGCUUACCAUGAAAGAAGCUAUAACUAAAAACUUAGUAAUCUUAAAAGAUCGGUCAGAUGAGAUAACCGAUUAUGUAUCUGGUCGUAUUAUUCAAAUAACAAGUGUUGAGGGCCAGCCAGACAAAGUUCAGGUGUCAGGUGGUUUAGAAGGUGUUCCCUCUGCUGUAUUCAGAGAAAUUAGAACUAAUGAACCAACAGUUGAUGCUACUCUUGUUGAAAUUAAACCUGGUAUGACUUUUAACCCUACAGAAGGCAGUGUUCAUUUAGAAGAUGGCUCAGUUUUAGAUGUUGUAACAGCAGUUAAAGAAGGGAAAAUCCAACCAACUGGUGUCAAAGUGAAGGAUCCUUACUCUGGGCGUGAUCUGAAUCUGAGUGAAGCUAUAAGAAAGGGAGUUAUUGAUAAAGAUUCUGGAGAAUACAAAGACAAAACUGGUCGUAAAUUAUCUUUGACUGAUGCUGCCAAGUAUGGAAUCCUUGGAGUUGCUGCUGUUAUAGGUGCCCCAGUUAUUGCUGGGGUGGCUGCUGCACAAGCAAUCAAGAGAGGCAUUAAGAAAGUUAAAAAGGUUGAUCCUAAGACUGGAGCAGAGAUCAUAAUUGAAGAAAGUGUUGAAAUAAUCACAGAUUCUACACCAGAGGAACCCCUCGAGUCGGUGGUUGGUAAGCGUUCUCGCACCACCAUAAAAUCUACCACUGUUGUUGAAACAGAUGUCAUACUUCAAGACCCUGUGACAGGAAAGGAGAUUUCUCCUGAAGAAGCAUUUUCACGGGGGCUGAUAUCCCCCAAAGAACUGGAGGAAAUUAGGAACACAGCACAUGGAAAGAUCCAAGAAAUUCAACAACAGGCAGGAGGUAAAGAGAUAGAUAGUGGUCCAGAAGAGAAGGUAUUUGAAUUUCUUCAUUUAGAUGAUGUAAAAGGAACAGAAGUGCAAGAUAUAGUAAAAAUGCAGGAAGAUUUUGACAAACUUUCACCAGUAAAGUUGUCUCCCAUUGGUCAGCUGCUCUCUGAGAGCAAACUAGAACCUUCUAAAGAACAUGAGGCUCCUGAAGGUAAACAAGAUAUUUUGAGUCAGGCAUUACCUUCUGAAUUUAGACAAGAGGCACCUAGUCAGAUCAUACCAUCUGAGGGCAAGCCGGAGCCCACUGCAGUUGAGGUCCUACCAUUCGAGGGCAUGCCGGAGCCCACAGCAGCUGAGGUCCUGCCAUCCGAGGGCAAGCCGGAGCCCACUGCUGCCGAGGUCCUGCCAUCCGAGGGCAAGCCGGAGCCCACUGCUGCCGAGGUCCUGCCAUCCGAGGGCAAGCCGGAGCCCACUGCUGCCGAGGUCCUGCCAUCCGAGGGCAAGCCGGAGCCCACUGCUGCCGAGGUCCUACCAUCAGAGGGCAAGCCGGAGCCCACUGCUGCCGAGGUCCUGCCAUCCGAGGGCAAGCCGGAGCCCACCGCAGGCGAGGUCCUGCCAUCCGAGGGCAAGCCGGAGCCCACCGCAGGCAAGGUCCUGCCAUCCGAGGGCAAGCCGGAGCCCACUGCAGCCGAGGUCCUGCCAUCCGAGGGCAAGCCGGAGCCCACCGCAGCCGAGGUCCUGCCAUCCGAGGGAAAACCGGAGCCCACCGCAGCCGAGGUCCUGCCAUCCGAGGGCAAGCCGGAGCCCACUGCAGCUGAGGUCCUGCCAUCCGAGGGCAAGCCGGAGCCCACCACAGCCGAGGUCCUGCCAUCCGAGGCCAAGCCGGAGACCACCACAGCCGAGGUCCUGCCAUCCGAGGGCAAGCCGGAGCCCACAGCUGCUGAGAUCCUGCCAUCCGAGGGCAAGCCAGAGCCCACCGCAGCCGAGGUCCUGCCAUCCGAGGACAAGCCAGAGGCCACAGCAGCCGAGAUCCUUCCAUCCGAGGACAAGCCAGAGCCCACAGCAGCCGAGAUCCUUCCAUCCGAGGACAAGCCAGAGCCUACAGCAGCCGAGGUCCUGCCAGAGCCCACAGUAGCCAAGAUCCUUCCAUCCGAGGACAAGCCGGAGCCCACAGCAGCUGAGGGCAAGCCGGAACCCACAGCAGCCGAGGGCAAGCCGGAACCCACAGCAGCCGAGGUUCUACCAUUAGAAGGAAAGCCGGAGCCCACCGCAGCCGAGGUCCUGCCAUCCGAGGGCAAGCCAGAGCCCACAGCACUCGAGGUCCUGCCAUCCGAGGGCAAGCCGGAGCCCACAGCAGCCAAGGUCCUGCCAUCCCAGGGCAAGCCGGAGCCCACAGCAACUGAGGGCAAGCCAGAACCCACAACAUUCGAGGUCCUGCCAUCCCAGGGCAAGCCAGAGCCCACAGCAGCCGAGGUCCUGCCUUCCGAGGGCAAGCCAGAGCCCACAGCAGCCGAGGUCCUGCCAUCUGAGGGCAAGCCAGAGCCCACAGCAGCCGAGGUCCUGCCAUCCGAGAGCAAGCCGAAGCCCACAGCAGCUGAAGUCCUGCCAUCCGAGGGCAAGCCGGAGCCCACAGUAGCCGAGGUCCUGCCAUUACAGGGCAAACUGGAGCCCACAGUAGCCGAGGUCCUGCCAUCCCAUGGCAUGCCGGAGCCCACAGCAGCCGAGGUCUUGCCAUCCCAGGGCAAGCUGGAGCCCACAGCAGCCGAGGUCCUGCCAUCUGAGGGCAAGCCGGAGCCCACCGCAGUUGAGGUCCUUCCAUCUGAGGGCAAGCCGGAGCCCACCACAGUCGAGGUCCUGCCAUCCGAGGGCAAGCCGGAGCCCACAGCAGCCGAGGUCCUGCCAUCUGAGGGUAAGCCAGAACUCAUAGCCAAGAUUAUGCCUUCAGAAAGUAAAUCAGAGGCCUUCAUUAUUGCUCAGCCUUCUGAAAGUGAGCUUCAAUUAUCCAGUGAUGCUUUGCCUUUAAACAAUAAGCCAGAGUUAUCCGUUGCAACACCUACAGUAGAUGAAAUUAAGGAUCCACAAAGUAUUAAAAUAUUGCCAGAAGUUUUGGAUACUAUGGAUAAUAAACCUCAAGAUGUUGAUGUGCAGUUGCAUAAAGUCAGAUUAGUUAAAACAUCAAGCAGAGAUAAGAGUCCUGAACAAGCAGAUUCAGAUAGGAGGAUGUCUCUUGGAGAAAGGACGAGAGAGCGUGUUACAACAGAGCCCAAAUUUAGUGUUGCUAUUGGCCGUGCAAAGUCAAUGCCAAGUCCUGAUCAUGAAGGAAAACUAGUUGUGUUACAGAAAGUAUGUAGAAGAUCCAUGAAACCCAAGCAGGCAGCUUCCAAAGGUGUUGUUGAUGAAAAAACUGCAGCAAUACUGGAGGAUCCAAACACUUUUCUUGGACCAGGUGGAGAAUCUUUGUCUUUGGAGGAAGCUUUAAGAUUAAAGAAAGUUGAUGGUGACAGUGGGGCUAUUGUUGAUGUAGCAUGUGGAGAGCCAUUGACCAUCAAUGAAGCUGUUGAGAGUGGUGUUCUUGAUGGCACUACAGGAAGUGUUCUUGUGCCAGUUGGAAGGAGUGUCACUCUACCAGAGGUAGUAUCUCAGGGGCUCUUUGAUAAAGAUACCCAGAGAUUCAUUCAUCCAGAAACUGGCAGUCGAUUGACUUUACGUGAAGCUAUACUUUGUGAUAUUGUUGAUCCUGUAUCUCAGAUUUUAGAACCUGAAACGCAUCAGAUCAUUACUCUCGAUGAAGCUAUUCAGAAGGGUAUUAUUGACUCACAAUCUGGCCAGGUAAUUACAACAGAAGGUCCAGUGUCAAUUUUAGAGGCAAUUGAUUUGACUGAUGUUUUUGUUACCUCAGCAGUUGCUAGAGUUGAUUGGCUGCCUCCACUUGGGAUGACAUUCCCUGUGGCAUUAGAGAGGGGUCUUGUUGAUGUUGACAACAAAGAAAUUAUACAUCCAGUGACAAGUGAUCGGCAGUCAUUGAAAACUGCUAUUGACAAUGACUUCAUUCUUGCUUUGCCAUGUCCCAUUUUGCCAGAGAGUGUACAAGUUACUCAAGCUUUGGAAUGUAAACUUAUAAAUACUGAUGCAUGCACAUUUACUAUUCCAAACACUGGUGAAGAAGUGCCAGUUGUGGAAGCAGUUGAAAGUGGUCUGCUACAGAUUAAACCUAUGACAAAAGUAAUAGCAGAUAGUAUUGAUGUAAGUAGAGAUAUCACAUAUACUGAAACUAUUACUUCAUAUGAAACUAUAACAACAAAAACUGUGAGAGUAGUUCCAGGAUAUGUCUUAAUCAGCUCCACUGAAGUUAAGAAUAUUAGCACAGGGGAAAUCAUCACACUAGAUGAGGCUAAAAAGCAAGGUAUAGUUGACUUUGAUACAGAAACAAGGCCUGAAGAAAAACUGACAUUCCGAGAGGCCGUUGAACAAGGGCAUAUUGAUUUUGCCACAGGUACCUUCCAAGACCCUGUAACAAACGAUCUAAUUCCUAUUGACAAAGCCAUUCAACUUGGUUUAGUUGAACCUACAGAGCCAGCACCAUCUACUGAGGUAACUAGUAAGAUAAAUAUAAUGCAAGCCUUCUCUACCAUCUACCAUGAAAAAUCUGGGAAGUUCAAAGACCCACAAACUGGAAUAUUGUUGACUCUGGAUGAAGCUGUUGACAAAGGAGUAAUUGAUGCUGAUGUAAUGGUGUAUGAUACAAAGAGUGGAAAUGCAUUAACUACUAAAGAAGCAGUAGAUAGAGGAGUAAUUGAUGUUGAAGCAGGUGACUUCAUUGAUCCUAAAUCUGGAAGCAAAGUCAAAGUUAAGGAUGCUGUGAAAAUGGGUUUGCUUGCUGUUAUAGGUGCUCCUAUUCUUGCAGGAAUGGCAGUCAAAGAAGUAAUUAAAGGUGCUCGUGAGAAAUUUAAAAGAUCGCCCACUCCAACGAGAACAACUGUAAUCACAGAGAUUAUAGAAGAAUAUUUGCCAGCCAGAACAGCUGAAGAUAUGCUUAAGAGGUCAUCUUUACUUCCUGAAGAUCAAGUGUGUUUCCCUGUCAUUGAGAUUGGCCAGAAAAUGACGUUAAGAACUGCAAUGGAGGGAGGUUACAUCGAUGUUGACUUAUGUGUUGUAGUACUUCCAUCUACUGGAAACAGGCGACCCUUGCGACGAGCAGUGAGAGAGGGUUCCAUUACUCUAAUCACCGUCAUUGAAAUUCGAAGUCGAACUGAAAUUUGGAUAGUUGAGGAAAUAACAGUUAUAACAGAAGUGGUCAAGUCCUUAGAUCCAGCAAUUAUGGCCCAAAAGGGGCAAUAUGAUCCUGAAAGUAGAAUUUUCAUUGACCCAGCAACAGGAGAGCCAGUGCCUUUCCAAAAAGCACUUGACACUGGCUCUUUUAGUCCAGAGAAUACACUUGUAAAAGAUCCUUCUACUGGACGAGAAAUGCCUCUCAGUAAUGCUAUCGAAGAAGGAAUAGUAAACCCUACCACGGGGGAAAUUCUAGACUUGCAAACUGGAGAAACUAUUAAUUUCUUUGAAGCUGCAAAGAAAGGUUUGGUGAAACCUGAUGACAAGAAAGAACCUAAAAAAGUGAAAAUACAACCAGAACCCAUGAUUGCAUUAAAUGAAGCCAUUGAGCAAGGCCUUUUGAAACCUGACACUGGUAUAUUUAUUAAUCCUAAUAAUGGAGAGAGUCUCAUAAUUGGGGAAGCUAUACAAAGUGGUCUUCUCGAUCCAUCCUCUAUACAAAUAUAUGACCCUAGAAAUGAAGAUAUUAUUUCUUUAAAAGAAGCCAUUGAUACUAGUCUUGUUGACUUAUCUACUGCUACAUUUACUGACCCUGAAAAUGGAUGUGAAAUGGAUUUUACAACAGCCCUUACCAAAGGCAUACUAGUGGCCAAAAGAAAGCCCAUGUCUCUAGUGGCUGUAGUAAAGAAGAAUUUGUAUGAUCCAAACUCUGGCAAGAUAAUAGACUCGCUCAUGAAACAAAAACUGGAUGUAGAUGAGGCAGUUAAGAGGGGAGUAGUAGAUUCUUUUAUCACCCUUUGUAAAGAUGUUAAGGCAGACAAAUAUGUUACCUUAGAUGAUGCUCUGCUUCAUGAUCUGGUUGUGGCUCAGAAUGGGAAACUGAAGAAUACUAAAAAGAAUACUUUUAUCACAUUUGAUGAAGCUGUGAAGCAAAGUUUGAUUGUGACACAGCAAAACCCCGUGCCUCUUGUUGAUGCUGUGUUAUGUGAUAUGUAUAAUCCAGAAGAUGGCCACUUUUAUGAUCCCUGUGAAGGUGAAGAGUUAACAUUGAAUGCAGCAAUGUCUUGCAAACUCCUUGAUGUUAAUACAUGUAAAGUGAAAUUAAAUGAUGACUUACACACUGUCAGUGAUGCUCUACAAAAAGGCAUUUUGGAUGGAGAAACAGGAAGAUUGCUACAACCAGAACAAAUGAGCUUGGAUAAAGCAGUGAAGAAAGGUUACCUUGUGCCAGUCUUAGGCUCCCUUUCAUUACAACAGGUUCUUGAAGAUGGGUUGUAUGAUUCGGAAACUGGUCUGGUCACUGUAGAUGGUGACCGUAUUACUAUACAUGAAGCUGUCCAGCGAAAUAUUAUUGAUCCCUCUUGCCUGUCAGUAAAAGAUCCUAGAACUGGUGAAGCAAUUACUCUGGAAGAAGCUGUCAAAGUUGGCAUUAUUGAUCCAAUGACAGGAACAUUCAGAGAUCCCAUCACAGGAGCUGAUAUUGAAUUGAUGGAAGCCUUAACCAAGGGUGUUGUUACAGAAGGUCGUACAAAGUUUACUCUGUAUCAGGCUGUAAUGAAAGGCUUUUACAAUCCUAAUACAGGACGCAUUACCAAUCCCUUGUCAACAGAUCAGAUGACAGUGAGCCGAGCAAUACGAUCAGGCUUCAUUGACCCCAGUACAACCUUAGCCAGAGACCCUAGCACAGAGAAGUUGAUGAGUUUCAAACAGGCAGUUUACAAGGAACUUCUUGAUACCAGCACUGGGAUGUUUAACUUUGGAAGAAUUAAAAAGAUGAACUUCAAGGAUGCAUUUGAGCAAGACUAUCUUAUUGAAGCACCAAUGCCAAUGGCUUUGAGGGUUGUGAUUAUGAAAGGGCUUUAUUCUGAAGAAUUUGGGAAAUUCUUGAACCCAAGCACAGGAGAAUGGAUUACUCUCUCUGAAGCACUAGCUUCACAAAUGAUUGACUCAGACUCGGCCCAUGUGAAGGACACCAUCUCUGGUCGCCUUAAAAAGGUGAAUCUAAGGGAGGCUGUUGAAUAUGAAAUAAUUGAUGGAGAGUUAGCACUAGUAAAGAAUUACCAAACUGAUACUAGGCACACGUUAUUGGAAGCAUAUGAACUGACACUCAUAAUAGAUAGUCGUGUUGCCAUGUCUCUGCAGCGUGCACUGCACCAAGGUUUACUAGAUGAAGAGCAGGGACUCUUGACUGAUGUUAACACUGGUAGAAAGAUAACCCUACAUGAAGCCAUGCGCAGGUUGGUCAUAAAUCCUAGUCUUCCAUGCUACUGGGACAUAAGUACAUCAACUUGCUUCUCUCUUGUGCAGACAUGUAGGGAGGGUAUUAUCGAUCGCAGACAUGGCAAGUUCAAUGACCCAAAGUCUGGCUGUACUCUUACUCUUAUAGAUGCUCUUGAGCACGGUAUGAUCCUCGAUAUUGACAAACCACAAAGUCUGUAUGAUGCUGUUAUCAUGGGUUUCCAUGAUAACAAGUCAGGCCGUAUGAUCCAACCAAACACUGGCCGCAAAUUAACUCUUGCAGAUGCUUGCAAGCAAGGUAUUAUUGAUAUAUCCACCUCAAUUAUUAGAGAUCCUAAUAAAUCUCGCUUCUUGAAAUUAAAUGCUGCUGUUAAUGAAGGUAUUGUUGAUGAUGUAAAUGGCAAGUAUAUUAUGCCGAACACCAAAGAAGAGUUGUCACUGGAGGAGGCUGUUGACAGGAACCUGAUUGUUACUUCUAAACGACCACUUACUAUUGAAGAAGCACUGAAGUACAGUCUGUAUUCUCCAGAAUCUGGUCGUUUCACAGAACCAUGUGUGGGAGAUAAGCUUGAUUUGACAGAGGCAAUUAGUCAUUGUCUCAUUGAUGGCAAUACUUCUGCCCUGAAGAAUCCUUUGGACGAGUCGAUAAAGAGCAUUCGGUCAGCUAUAGAAGAGAAAGAGAUUAAUUCUUCUACAGGGCUUGUAACUGAUCUUCAGACAAAGAAGACUUACACUAUCAAUGUAGCAUAUGAAAGAGGGCUCAUUGUAACAGUAGGCAAGCCAAUCAGUUUCAUGCAGGCAGUUAGACAAGGGUGCAUUGACUUGGAAAAGGGCACAUUCACUGACCCUGAAUCAAAUAAGGAGUAUACUCUUGAGGAAGCACUUUGCUUUGAGCUUAUUGAUCCAGAUUCUGCAGUCAUCAAAGAUCCAAACACUGGCAGAUACAAGACUCUUAAGCGUGCCAUAGGAGAAGGACUUGUUGACCUAAAGAAAAGGGCUCUUUUCGAUCCUCAAAGUGGGACUUUAAAGACCCUUUGCAUUAUUUUUGACCAGGGCACCAUUGUAUUUCUCAGAGAACCAUUGUCAUUUGAUGAGGCCAUUGACAAAGGUUACCUUAACACUGAAACUGGCAUGUAUACUGAUCCAAACUCAAAAGAGAUAUUAAACCUGAGGGAGACAUGUCGCUUGGGCCUCAUUGACCCAGAAACUGUACUGGUGAAGAAUACACGGAGCAGACAGCUGAUUCAACCAGUAGAAGCAUGUGAAACAGGAGUCAUUGAUUCACAGAAGGGUAUGGUGUACAACACAGCCACCAGUCACCUUCUUACCAUUGCUGCAGCUAUUGAGGCUGGUUUGGUAGUAACACCAUGUCGUGGUCUUGCCCUCCUUGAAGCUCUUGACUAUGGUCUGUACAAUGUUGAGACUGGACAUCUUUUGAAUCCUUACCUGAAGCAACAUGUUACUUUGCAAGAAGCUAUUGCCUGUGGGCUGAUCGAUAGCACCACAACAAUGGUCAAGUGUCCCGUCAGUGGCAACAUCCAGAGCAUGGCAGAAGCUGCACGGAGUGGGGUACUUGAUGAGCAAGGUGGCGCCGUGGUGGAUUCGUCCUCUGGCAUCCGCUAUCCACUUCCAGAGGCCCGUCGUCAAGGUUACCUACUCACCGCACAAGCGCGGCAAGCCAUGAUUGAGAAGUACAGACAGUGUGAUACAACCAUUGUGGAUAUAAUUGAUAAGGUGAGCGAGAUUGAACGACGCCUGGCAGAACAAGAGCCUGUUAGUGAGAAUACUAAUGGACUCCGCAACCAGAUUAACACAGUCAAGGCCAUUAAGGAUGAACUUGACGAGAUGUUCCGGCCUCUGGGUACAUGCUUGGAUGGUGUGAGGCAAGUGGUAAACCAAGGGGGUGAGGUUCUAUCACGUGAGGAACUAGAGUCACUAGACCAGGCUGCUACCAUUCUUAAGCAACGCUAUGACCACUGUGUGGUUCAAGCCGACACCACACACCGUCGUCUCACAACUGCCAUGGAAGAAUUUUCAAAAUAUGAAAAAGAGAUUGCUCUCUUCCUCACUUGGUUGAAUCAAGCCACAAAGACCCUAUUGGAGAAGGAGCGGCUUUGCUCAGACCUUAAUAAGAUUAAAAUCCAUGAGCAAGGGUGUCGAGACUUCCUGGGGGAUGUGAUUGCCCAUCAAGCUGACUUGCGUUUCAUUACCAUGGCCACACAGAAGUUCCUAGAUGAAUCAAGUUUAUACUUGCGUACUGUGAAUAACUUCCGCACAUCUUUGCCAGAGCGCUACCCAUUGUUACAAGCUGAUCCAGACUCUGUGGUUCGUGAUGCUGCUGAUGAUGUUAGUGCAGAAUUCAAGGAUCUGCUAGCACGUGCCAAUAAGCUCGUUGACAGGGCGACAAGUGUUGGUAAUAAACAACGUGACUAUACAGAAGCCAUUGAAAAGGCUACCCGCUGGCUCAAAGACACUGAGGUAAAGGUGGUACGCAUUCUGCAAGAACCUGUUGGUGCUGAGCCUAAGAGCGUUCAAGACCAAUUAGAUAAAGCUAAGGCAAUCAACAAUGAUGUGGUAGCUCAGUCACGAUUGUUUGAUAACUGUCGUGCAACAGCAGCCUCUCUACUCCGUGCCCUGGAGGGUGAGCUGGAUGCUAGAGAACAACAGGCCAUUGAACAACCUCCAGAGGAACUGGCUGACCGUUAUGCUGAACUUGCUGACCGCCUAGGAAUCCGCUGCCAGGACCUAGACACUGCCCUUGUCCAAUGCCAGGGUGUCCAGGAAGGCCUCGACUCACUCAUGAAUUGGCUCAAUAGUAUUGAUCUUCAGCUAAAGAACGUGAGCAAGCCAGCCUCGCUAAACCGCGACCGUCUUGACGAACAGCUGAGGGAACACCGCCAGCUCCACGCAGACAUCAUGUCCCACCAGGCAUCAGUGGUCCAGAUCAACGACUCUGCCGAGGCUCUGCUCUCCUCCGCCUCCAACGUCAGGGUCGCCAAGAAAAUAGAGACCAAACUGAGGGAGCUCAACACAAAGUUCGAGAAGGUGGUCGAUAAGUCAGAAUCUCGUGGACAGCAUCUGGAAAUAGUCUCGACUCGACUGGAUGCUUUCACCGUCUCGGUUGAACACUUUGAGGAAUGGUACAUUGAAAUUGUGGAAGUUGUUGAAUCUCGGGAAGUUCUAUCACUGGAUGUCGAAAGCUAUGCUCAGAAGAUUGAAGAAAUUGCUCUUCAGCGAGAUUCACGUACGGAUGACUUUGAUGGUAUGAUAAAAACUGGCAAAGAACUGGUUUCAAAGAAGGAUGUCACAGACACUGCACCUGUGAAGGAUAAAAUUAAGAACUUAGAAGGCCAGUGGAAAGAACUGAGUGACACACUAGAUGAACGGGCACGUAAUGGCAAGGAACGCUCGGAGCAACUUAUUGCUUAUGAACAGCUACGCGACCGCUGUACACAAUGGAUUACCACCACAGAAAACACUUUGGAUAGUGCUCAAGCUGUCGGAUUGGAACAAGAAGUUAUUAAAAAACAGGUUGAGGACCUCAAGCCAAUUCUCAGAGAGUAUCGUGAGUAUGGCACCACAGUUGACAAGCUGAAUGAGCUUGGUAAUGCAUAUGAUGCAUUGCUACGUGGAGAAAGGCCAGAGAGUCCAUCAAGAAGACGAUCAUCUGUGACUCCAGUGAAGCGUCCAUCAAUCACCUCGCCUCUUAAAUCUCCAGCGAGGCGAGUGUCACAAGAUGCACGCAGUCCUUCACCAUCUCACAAGUUGAUGGGCUUCAACGGCUCUGGCCCCAUGUCUCCCAUACCAGGCGGCUAUGCUAGCAGACGUACAUCACAAGAAGGAUUCCAUCUUGAUGAUAUGAGUCCUAUCCAGAAAGAGUUGAUGCAAGUGAACAACCGUUAUGAUAUGAUUGGAAUGAGGCUUACCGAUCGUCAGAAUGACUUGGAUAUUAUGAAAGAUGAACUGAAGAAGGUGGCUGACAGUAUAAGAUCCAUCACAUUAGCUCUAGACAAAUCAGAGCGCAGUAUGCCAAGAGAAGCUGUACCUACCACAAAGGAAGAAGCUGAUAAACAUAAUAGACAGUGCAAGUCUAUACUUGAUGAACUUCAAGAGAAACAACCUGCUUUGGAUUCAUUGAAGAUACAGGUAGCAGAAUUAAUAAAGAAGCGACCAACAGCUCCAGGUGCCGAUAUCUUGCAAGAUCAAGUAGACCUUGUGAAUGAUCGUUUUAAGGAACUGCAGGGUCGAUUGAAAGAUCGCCUUAGUUUCCUGGAGCAUAUAAAAGACUUCCUUGAUAGUUAUGAUUCUCUCAACAACUGGCUUGUUUCUAAAGACAGAAUGAUGACUGUUCUUGGACCAAUAGCAUCUGAUCCUCGUAUGGUUCAAAUGCAGGCACAGCAAGUUCAGGUAUUGAGAGAUGAAUUUCAGGCCCAAGAACCAAAACUGGGUGAUCUUAACGAUGCUGGUGAUACCAUUAUUGGUGUGUGUGAACCAAAUUCAAUGGCUGCUAAGAAAAUCAAUGACAAAUUGGACAGCAUUAACAAUAAAUGGACAGAACUCAUUGGUCAGUUAGAUGCUCGUGAUUCUGCUCUUAAUGCAGCUUCAGAUGCUAGUACAGACUUUUAUGAUAAUUACAACAAAUUGCAUGAUGCACUUAUCAAGUUGGGUGAUGAUUUUGAUGAAGUUAUUGCUGCUGGUGCAGAUACUGCUAAACAGAUAGAGGCUGUAAAUGCUCUAGAAAACGGUUUGGAAACAGCACGCGGUACCUUGAUUGAUCUUGAAGGACUUGGUGAACAACUUACAGCAAUUUUAUCUGAUCCAUCGUCAAAGAAUGACAUAAAGUCUAAAAUUACUCAGCUUAACAAGAUGUUUAACAACCUUGAAAGGAAGCUAGGUAACCGUAAAUCUGAAUUGGAAGCAUCACUCAGAGAUGAAGAAAUGUUUGGCCAGUCAUGCCAUGAUAUUCAGGAAUGGUUAGCAGAUCAAGUAGCUCACCUGAAGGAUCGUCUGUUAGUUUCUGCAGACAGAGACGUACUGUCAAAUCAAGUGGGUGACUUUGAGCCCAUUUAUAAGGAUCUAAUGGCUAAAGAACAUGAAGUAAUCAUGAUGAUCAAUAAGGGUAAGGAUAUAGUUGCAAAAUCAUCUCGUAAGGAUCUCAGCCGUCAGUUAUCAGAGACUUUGGAUGCUAUCAAGAAAGAAUGGGACAAUGUUCGUAAGACAGCUGUAGACCGCCGCACAAGACUACAGAAAUGUAUGGAUACAUGUAAAAAGUUCCACAGUCAACAGGACAAGUUCAAUCCUUGGUUAGACACUGCUGAAGAAAAAGCACACAACUUAGAACCUAUUGCCUUUACAAAGAAAGCAAUUGAUAAGCAGAUAAAGGAAAUUCAAUAUUUCAAAAAUGAAGUGUCUCGGCAUAGUGGUGAAUAUGAGAACAAUAAAACUGCUGGUGAAAAGCUAAUUUCAUGUACAGAUACUGAUCAUGAAGGAGUUGAAGAAGCUCUUGCUUUCAUGAAGGAACGCUGGGACCAUCUUAAUGCAGUUGUUUUUGCUCGAGCUCAAGACUUAGAUGAUGUUGCUGCAAAAUUGACAGACUUCAGUGACAAAGCCAGAGAUCUUGAUCACACAUUGCAGCGUUGUGGAGACAGAUUAGCUUCUCUUGAUUCCCUUUCUGGAGCAGGAAAGGAUGCAAAGUCAUUAGAGAGGAUGAAAGCUCUUCUUGAUGAAACAGAUGCACUUGGUAAGCAGGUGGACCAAGUAAAAUAUAAGGGUGAAGAUUUAUGUGGGACAGCUGAUGCUCUUGGUUCAGAUGCUAAUCAUAUCCAUGAGGAGGUUGAAAGACUCACAGAUCGCUUUGGUGACUUGAAGGGUAGAUUGGAGGAGCGCUGUCAUGAUCUGGAGGAGGCUUCUCAGGCAGUAAACCAGUUUGGUGCACUCGUUAAGAACGUAGGUCAAGAAUUAACUGGUUUGGAUGAUGAACUUGAUCGCAUGAGACCUGUUGGAAGAGACACAAAGACUGUUACUAGUCAGAUUGAUCAGCUUCACAGUUUUCUGUCAAAGGUUGACCUCAAGAAUGAGGAAAUUGAGGAUGCUAAAACAGCUUUAGAUGAUUUAGUCACUCAAGGAUUCACAAGUGCUAAUAACCGUGCAGCUGAAGAUCAAAUUAAACAGCUUGGACGGCAGCUGAAGAAAAUACAAGACCGAUGUGAUGCUCGUGGGAAGGAUCUUGAUACUGUUUUGAAAAAGUUAGAGAAUUUCUAUGAUAAGUACAACUCUGUCAUGGAUGAUAUACAAGAAGCAGACAAGGAAGGAGAUACAUUCAAACCAGUAGGUGCAGAUGUAGACACUAUUAUUACCCAACAGGAGGAGUUCAAGCAGUUCAAAGGAGAAAGGGUAGAGGCUCUUGGAAAACAGGUUACUGAAUGUAACAAACUUGGACAAGGUCUUAUUCAGAGUGCUGCUUCUGGUGUUAACACACAAGGCCUUGAAAAUGACAUUGAUGGAAUGAAUGACUUGUGGAACAAGUUAAAAGUAAUGAUUGGUGACAGAGAAAAAGCUUUGGAUAAGGGUUUAAUGCAGUCGGGUAAAUUCCAGGAUGCAUUGGAUAGUAUGCUGCAGUGGCUAGGAAACUUUGAAGAAAUGAUGGAGAAUCAGGCACCAAUUUCAGGUGAAUAUUCUGUGGUAAAGGCCCAAGCCCAAGAACAGAAGUUCUUGAGAAAAAUGCUUAUAGAUCGCCAAAAUGAGAUGCAAGCCCUUCUUGCCAUGGGUCGUAAUCUAGCAGCUGAUCUAGAACAAUCUGAAAAGGCUGCUGUGGAAGGACAAUUGGAUGACUUGCUUAAUCGCUUUGAUGAUGCUAGUGCUCGAUCUCAAGAACGCAUGGAAGCUCUUGAAGAAACGCUCAAGGUUGCAAAGGAAUUCCAAAAUAAACUUAAUCCUAUUACUGAAUGGCUAGAUCGUACUGAAAAGAAAUUGAAGGAGAUGAGCACUGUACCAUCUGAUGAGGAAAAAAUACAAAAACUUCUUGAUGAGCAUGAUAACUUACACGAUGAGAUUUUAGGUCAAAAACCUGCAUUUGAUGACCUUACUGAUGUUGCCACUGCUCUUAUGAGUCUUAUUGGAGAUGAUGAAGCCAAUGCUUUAGCAGACAAAUUACAAGCUACCACUGAUAGGUAUGGACAGUUAGUAGAAGACUCUGAAGUCCUUGGGCGUCUCCUCCAAGAGUCAAAGGUUGGUCUCCGCCACCUGGUACUUACAUACGAAGACUUGUUAUCUUGGAUGGAUGAAAUGGAAGCUAGAUUAUCAAAGUAUCGCAUCUUGUCAGUAUUUGUGGAAAAGCUCUUGGAACAAAUGGAUGAACUGACUGAUCUUGGAGAAGAAGUAGUUGCACAUGAGAAACAAGUGGCAGAGGUUAUGGAUGCUGGAUCUCAUUUGAUGAAGCACAUUUCAAGUGAUGAAGCUCUUCAGCUGAAAGAUAAGCUUGACUCUAUACAUAGGCGCUACAAUGAUCUUAGUGCUAAAGCUACUGAUCUUCACAAAGCUGCAAAUGAGGCCUUGCCUCUGGUACAACAAUUCCACAGUGCCCAUGAACGUCUUGGAUCUUGGAUGUUGUCUGUUGAAGGUCAGCUUCAGAGCAUAGAUUCAUCUGGUCAGGGGCUGUUGGAGGAAGAAAUAGAAAGGCUAGCUCAUGAAAUACAAGAAAAUCGUCCAUUAGUGGAGGCAGUAAAUUUGGUGGGGCCACAGUUAUGUCAGAUUUCUCCAGGUGAAGGUGCUGCAAAUAUAGAGACUUUAGUAACAAGAGACAACAGAAGGUUUGAACAAAUUUGUGAACAAAUUCAGAGAAGAAUGGAGAGAAUUCACAUGUCCAAACAAAGGUCACAAGAAGUCACUCAAGAUAUUGAUGAGCUUCUGGGCUGGUUCCGCGAGGUAGAAGGCCAGAUACGCGAGGCUGAACCUCCUAGUGUGGAUCCUGAAGAAAUUAGAAUCCAGCUGAAAGAACAUAAGGCUCUGAAUGAUGAUGUUGCAAGCCAAAAGGGCAGAGUAAGAGAUGUUUUAUCUAAUGCCAAAAAAGUAUUGAGAGAGUCUCCACAUCAUGAAGACACAAGUGAGCUUAGAGAAAAAAUGGAUGAUCUUAAGGAAACUAUGGAAUCAGUUUCUAAAUUAUCAUCAGAUAGGCUAUCGACACUGGAACAAGCCUUACCUCUUGCUGAACAUUUCUUUGAAACCCACCAUGAGCUUGAUGACUGGCUUGCAGUUAUGGAAAAUGAGGCAAUGGUAAUGGAUACUCCUGCUCUUAGGGCUGAUCAGAUCAUUCGCCAAAUGGAGAAGAACAAAACCUUCCUUCAGUCUAUUGGUGACCAUAAACCUCUUCUUGACAAACUUAACAAAACAGGCGGAGCACUUUUGAAACUUGUUAAUGAUGAAGAUGGUGCUAAAAUACAAGAACUUUUGGAAAGUGAUAAUGACAGAUACAAUGCGCUUAAAUAUGCACUUCGUGAACGUGGUCAAGCUCUGGAGGAUGCCUUGCAGGAAACUAGUCAGUUUGCUGAUAAAUUGGAUGGUAUGCUUUCUGCUCUAGCCGAGACUGCUGACCAAGUGAAGAAUGCCGAACCUAUUGCAGCCCAUCCCGAGAAGAUCCAUGAGCAAGUACAAGAAAAUAAUGGCAUCAUUGAUGAUCUUGACAGAAAAGAAUCUGCUUUUACUGCUGUAAAGGCUGCUGCAGAAGAUGUCAUCAAUAAGGCAUCACGAAAUGAUCCAGCUGUGAAAGACAUAAAAACUAAGCUGGAUCGCCUGAACAAGCUGUGGGAUAUGGUACAACUGGCAACUACUCAGCGUGGUCAGUCUCUGGAAGAUGCUCUUGCUAUGGCUGAAAGAUUCUGGGAUGAAUUGCAGAAUGUUAUGACUGCACUGAAAGAUCUUCAAGAAACAUUAAAGGCUCAAGAACCAGUAGCAGUUGAACCACAAGCUAUUAAACAACAACGUGAAGAAUUAUCUCAAAUUAAGGUUAAGAUUGAUCAGACUAAGCCAGAAGUAGAACAAGUUCGCCAGACUGGUCGUGACCUGAUGACAAUUUGUGGUGAUGCUGAUAAACCUGAAGUUAAGAAGAACAUUGAAGAUCUGGAUUAUGCUUGGGAUAAUGUUACUGCUCUAUAUGCUAAACGUGAAGAGAACCUAAUUGAUGCUAUGGAGAAAGCUAUGGAAUUCCAUGACACAUUAAGGAAUAUGCUGGAGUUCUUGGAGAAGGCAGAGGAUAAAUUUAGUGGAAUGGGUCCCAUUGCUGGAGACAUUGAAGCCAUCAAAGGACAGAUUACUCAACUGCACAAGUUUAAGGAUGAGGUUGAUCCGCAUAUGGUGAAAGUUGAAGCCUUGAACAGGAGUCUAAGAAGACAAGCUCAAGAGUUGAAAGAAAGAACAUCAGCUGAUCAGGCAGUUGCCAUUAUGGAACCUUUAGGUGAAGUGAACAAACGUUGGGAUGAGCUGCUGAAGGGGAUUGUUGAAAGACAGCGCAGCUUGGAAUAUGCUCUUCUUAAGCUUGGACAGUUCCAGCAUGCUCUCAAGGAAUUAAUGAUUUGGAUUGAACGCACAACAAGAACUGUAGACGAUCUGAAGCCAGUAUUUGGUGACCCGCAAGUUAUUGAGGUUGAAUUAGCAAAAUUAAAGGUUACAAUCAAUGACAUUCAGGCUCAUCAGUCCAGUGUUGAUACCCUUAAUGAUGCUGGUAGGCAACUGAUUGAAGCUGAUAAGGGGUCUGAAGAUGCUUCUAAUACACAAAAGAAACUAUUAGAACUAAACAAACAGUGGAGUGAAUUACAGGAUAAAGCAACUGGUAAACAAAAUGAUUUGGAAAGUGCACUUAGAGAAGCUCAAAUAUUCAGUGCUGAAAUUCAAGAUCUCUUACUUUGGUUAGGAGAUAUUGAUGCUGCCUUGUCAAGUUCCAAACCAGUUGGAGGUCUUCCAGAAACUGCAAAGGAACAGCUCCUUCGCUUUAUGGAGAUAUAUGAAGAUUUGGAGGAGAACCGUUCUAAAGUAGAAGCAACUCUUCAGCAAGGGCAGGAAUAUCUGAAACGUUCUCGUGAAGGAGCUGCUACUAAUCUCAACCAUAGCCUUCGUACCUUAAAACAACGUUGGGAAAGUGUCAUGAAUCGUGCUAGUGAUAAGAAGAUCAAGUUGGAGAUAGCUUUGAAAGAGGCUACAGAAUUCCAUGAAGCAUUGCAAGCAUUUGUCGAUUGGCUUACUGAAGCAGAGAAUUUGUUAAAUUCCCAACAUCCAGUGUCACGUGUUCUGGACAUCAUUCUUGAACAGAUUGAAGAACAUAAUAACUUUAAGAAAGAUGUCACUGCACAUAGAGAAGUAAUGCUUAGUUUAGAUAAAAAAGGAACACAUCUUAAAUAUUUCAGUCAGAAGCAAGAUGUCAUAUUGAUUAAGAAUUUGCUAGUUUCUGUGCAGCACCGUUGGGAGAAAGUAGUAUCUAAAGCGGCAGAAAGAACACGCUCUCUUGACCUUGGAUUUAAGGAAGCUAAAGACUUCCACGAUAAUUGGAAUGAAUUGGUCACUUGGCUCGAUGAUGCUGAGAACUCCCUUGAUGACUUGGCUGCUAAUGUUGGAAAUGAUCCUGAAAAAAUUAAAGCCCAAAUUGCCAAGCACAAGGAAUUCCAAAAAGCUCUUGGGGCCAAGCAACCAGCCUAUGAUAGUACAAUGAAGCAGGGUCGAGGUCUGCAGAACAAGGCACCAAAGUCUGAUGAAGAGACAUUAAAGCAAAUGAUGACCGACCUCAAGAACAAGUGGAACAGUGUUUGCCAGAAGAGUGUAGACCGCCAAAGGAAGCUAGAAGAAGCUCUUCUCUUCACUGGUCAGUUUAAAGAUGCUACUCAAGCUCUUUUGGAUUGGCUUAAGAAGGUAGAAUUAGGGCUUGUUGAUGAUGGGCCAGUUCAUGGAGAUCUGGAUACAGUUAUGGCACUAGUUGAGCAACACAAGGCAUUCUGUGCAGAACUCAAGAACCGCUCUGUACAAGUUGGGAGUGUACGGCGUACAGCAGAUGAACUGUUAAUCAAGGCUAGUGCUGAAGAUGCUGUUACUAUUCGUUCACAAAUUGUCGAGUUAGUAAGCUCUUGGGAAAGGGUUGAGACGGCUACAGAAAUUCGUACUAGACGGUUAGAGGAAGCGUUACAAGCUGCUGAACAGUUACAUAAGGUUGUGCACAUGCUGCUUGAUUGGUUGUCUGAUGCAGAGAUGAAACUCAGGUAUGCUGGACCAUUGCCAGAUGGUGAAGAGGAGACAAGACAACAAAUUGCUGAGCAUGAAGCAUUCUUGGCCGAAUUGAAUCGUAAAGAAAGAGAAAAAGACGAUACAAUUGCCUUGGCUGAAGAUAUCCUUGCCAAAGCUCAUCCAGAUGGUGUUGCAACUAUUAAGCACUGGAUCACCAUUAUUCAGUCGAGGUGGGAGGAAGUUAUGGCAUGGGCCAAGCAGAGAGAAACCAGAUUGGCAGACCACCUUAGAAGUCUACGGGAUCUUGCUGGACUUCUUGAUGAGCUCAUGCGCUGGCUUAUACAGGCUGAGAACAAUCUGACAAUCUUGGAAGCAGAACCGCUGCCUGAUGACAUUCCUGCCAUUGAGGCUCUCAUUACUGACCAUAAGGAGUUUAUGGAUGAAAUGCAGAAGAAAGAGCCCGAUGUGCUUAGCAUAUGUAAGCCUACCAAACCUCGACCAUCACUUUCACAGCAAGGCAAAAAGCGAUCAAGAGCAUCUCUUGGUCGUGAGAGUGAGAGUCCAGGAAGAGAAUCGUCACCAGAAUUUGAUUACCCAUCACGGCGGUCCAGUCGUAUCAGUCCAGAUCGAGAAUCCUCGCCAGGACCUAAAUCUCGAAAGUCCAGCCGAUCAUCACCGGCACGUGAGAUCACCCCCACACGGGAGUAUCCAAGACCAUGGAUGUAUGGAGCAAGAACAACACCACCACGAGAGUCCUCACCGGGAGCUGAUCGUGAAAGAGACUGGCCACUUGUGCACUUGCGCUUUGCCACAUCAACACCAACGCCUUCUGCUGCUGCUACUGCAGCAGGCGGGAGAAAGAGCAGCAAAGCUAGUGUGCGAGAGGAACCUCAAAUCAAGAAUCCCCAGGCACGUGCAUUGUGGGAAAAAUGGCAACAUGUUGGCUUCAUGGCAUGGGAACGUAUGCGACGUCUCCAUGACAAACUCAGCUACCUCCAUGAACUUGAGAAGCUAAAGAACUUCUCGUGGGAAGAAUGGCGAAAGAGGUUCAUGAAGUUCAUGAAUCACAAGAAAUCAAGAGUGACGGACCUUUUCCGUAAGAUGGACUCUGAUAAUGAUGGAGCCGUUCCUCGUGAUGACUUCAUUGAUGGCAUCCUUAAGACAAAAUUCCCAACCAGCCGCUUGGAAAUGGGCACGGUAGCAGAUAUAUUUGAUCGCAACCAAGAUGGGUAUAUUGAUUACCAAGAAUUUAUAGCAGCUCUUCGGCCAGACUGGGAGCGUAAGGGUCCCUUGACUGAUGCUGAAAGAAUUGAUGACGAAGUUCAGAAGCAAGUUUCCAAAUGCACUUGUCGUCAGAAGUUCAGAGUUCACCAAGUAGGGGAGGGCAAAUACAGGUUUGGAGACAGUCAGAAACUUCGCCUGGUCCGUAUCUUGCGAUCAACAGUUAUGGUUCGUGUUGGAGGUGGAUGGGUGGCACUAGAUGAAUUCCUUGUCAAAAAUGACCCAUGCAGAGGUUCGGGAAAGAACAGCAAAGAGCUCGGCAAUGGGGCGAACUUCCUUCAGUGCUGGCACCCCAGAUUCUUCAUUCAGUGAAGAAGGAGGGUCAUCAUCAUUCCAUCUCCAUGGAGGCAAACGCAAGGCCUCGGCACCAGUUACAUCCCGCUCCUCUUACAAUACUUCAGGUGACAGUCAACCAGGAAGCCGGUCAGGGAGCCGUCCACCAUCACGAGGUCCUGGAUCACAUCCAGGAUCACGUCCUCCAAGCCGUGCAGGCUCUGAAGUAUCCCUCGACUCGUGUGAUGGGGGACGAACUCCUAUGAAACGC
rnacentral:misc_RNA from 1 species